rnacentral:rRNA from 1 species
UACGAGGGGGGCAAGCGUUGUUCGGAUUCAUUGGGCGUAAAGGGUGCGUAGGCGGCGCGGUAAGUCGGGUGUGAAAUCUCGGAGCUUAACUCCGAAACUGCAUUCGAUACUGCCGUGCUUGAGGACUGGAGAGGAGACUGGAAUUUACGGUGUAGCGGUGAAAUGCGUAGAUAUCGUAAGGAAGACCAGUGGCGAAGGCGGGUCUCUGGACAGCUCCUGACGCUGAGGCACGAAGGUCAGGGGAGCAAACAGG